rnacentral:tRNA from 3 species
UGCGGGGUAGAGCAGCCUGGUAGCUCGUCGGGCUCAUAACCCGGAGGUCGCAGGUUCGAAUCCUGCCCCCGCUA